CCUACGGGUGGCAGCAGUCGAGAAUCAUUCACAAUGGGGGAAACCCUGAUGGUGCGACGCCGCGUGGGGGAAUGAAGGUCUUCGGAUUGUAAACCCCUGUCAUGUGGGAGCAAAUUAAAAAGAUAGUACCACAAGAGGAAGAGACGGCUAACUCUGUGCCAGCAGCCGCGGUAAUACAGAGGUCUCAAGCGUUGUUCGGAAUCACUGGGCGUAAAGGGUGCGUAGGCUGUUUCGUAAGUCGUGUGUGAAAGGCGCGGGCUCAACCCGCGGACGGCACAUGAUACUGCGAGACUAGAGUAAUGGAGGGGGAACCGGAAUUCUCGGUGUAGCAGUGAAAUGCGUAGAUAGCGAGAGGAACACUCGUGGCGAAGGCGGGUUCCUGGACAUUAACUGACGCUGAGGCACGAAGGCCAGGGGAGCGAAAGGGAUUAGAUACCCCAGUAGUC
rnacentral:rRNA from 1 species